CACUCUAACCCUACCUACCCAU
rnacentral:miRNA from 1 species